rnacentral:rRNA from 1 species
AUGUACAGCCACGUCGGCGUCACCGGGCGGAUGGCCAAGCACCCCGUCGGGUCCCUCGACCUCGCCGACUUCGAUCGCACCAUGGCCACCAACGCCCGGUCCGCGGUCGCCGGGAUCAAGCACGCGGCGCGCGUGAUGGUGCCGCGCCGGAGCGGGUGCAUCAUCUGCACGGCGAGCACCGCGGGGGUGCUGGGCGGCCUCAUCGCGCCCACGUACAGCAUCUCCAAGGCCGCCGUCAUCGCCGCCGUGCGCUCGUUUGCCGGGGAGCUGGGGCGCCACGGGGUGCGCGUCAACGCCAUCUCGCCGCAUGGCAUAGCGACGCAGUUCGGGCUGCGCGGGCUGGCAGAGCUGUUCCCGGAGGCGAGCCAGGAAGAGCUGAGGCGGGUGGUGGAGACCGGCAUGAACGAGAUGGGCGGCGGGACGGUGCUGGAGGUGGAGGACAUCGCCAGGGCCGCCCUGUACCUGGCGUCCGACGAGGCCAGGUAUGUCAACGGGCACAACCUCGUCGUCGACGGCGGGUGCACGGUGGGGAAGGGGCUCAUCAACCCGGCACCGGCGCAAUAA